GUUGUCAUGUGUCUAUUUUGAAGAGAUUGAUAUCAACUGGUUGUAAUAAAAAUGUAAAGAGCAAAUAUGGAUGUACAGCUCUACACUUUGCUGAUGAUAUUGAGGUUGUUGAUUAUCUAUUGAGCACUGGUAUCAACACUGACGAUCGUGAGGAGAGUGGCUACACACCAUUUCUCUUGGCAUGUCUUAAUGGUCAUGUACCUAUAGUACAACGUCUCAUUCAAUCAAAGUGCAACAAAGGAGCAACAACUAAUAUUGGAUCAACUGCAUUACAUCUGAUCUGUGAAUAUCCUUUUGUUACUAAUGACCAUUUAUCAAUUGUGAAGCUGUUGACAUCAUUGAGAGUUGAUGUGUCAGCUAAGAACAAUGAUGGCAAAACAGCAAUUCAAGUAGGAGAAGAAACCCUGCAGUCAUGUUGGCGCGAUAAUCAAGAAACUCGUUCUGCUAUCCUUUCCCAUCUGAAGGAAUGUAUUAAGAAAAGUGCUGUUGCAGCUGUAAAUCCAUCACCAGAUGUUGCAGAAAGUUCUAGCUCUUCUGAAGACACUAAUGUUCGACUUCCCAGUAAGUGAGACAAUCAAGUGCAUGACGACAAUGUUACACAACAUAGAUAUCAAUAUGUCUACAAACCUAUGAGAGUUGCUGUAAUGUAUGGAUGGUUUUGCUAUUUCGUUAGUAACAGGAUCCUGAUGUUAGAAGAUUUGACUGUUUUUGUUUGCUUGCGAGUUCACCUCAUCUAGAAAUUUGUUUAGUAGAUUGUCAGUCAUUUAUUUUUGUCG